UCCAAGCGGAAAACAAAAUCCCAUUGGCGUCGGCAAAUGCGGCACUUAACGCCGACUCUGCGCUCAAAGCUGUCUCUGCUUAUUGGCGGGAUUUUCCUUCCGCUUCGAGAAUCUUCCAAAAAUUAGGGCAAAAAAUGCUUUGGUGACUUAACGCAUUGGUUCGAUUCGCCCUCUCUUGUUCCGUUUUUUCUCUUUACUGGACGCUCUUUCUGGUCUGAGUAACAGUAGUAGGUAAUGGAGGAUUCGCCCGGAGCUUCAGAAGCAAUUCGUCGCUCGAAAAGGACUAGGGCUCAGAUUUUUCCGACGGGCGCUGGUCAAGGGACCCAGUCGAGGGGUAGCGGCCGAGAUAACCGGGACGAGGACAGCGAUCGGAGUGAUCAGAGCCCUAAUCGGCACGCCGACCGAGAGGACUCCGUUGAUGAUUUUGAGGAGCUUCGUCCCAAGGCUAAGCGAAAGCGGGCUUCCGAGGAGGCUUCCGCUGCGCCAAGCAAAAUUCACGCAAGUCUGAUCGAGAUUAUAAAAGGGAAUGGAAAGCUUAUUCCCCAAGUCGUUAAGAACUGGGUUGAACAGUAUGAAAAGGAUCCAAAGCCUGCAAUGGUUGAACUGUUGAUGAUGCUUUUUGAGGCUUGUGGAGCAAAGUAUAUAAUUGAUGAGGAGCUAUUGGACGAGAUUGAUGUUGAUGACGUAGUAGUUGCUCUUGUCAAUCUGGCUAAAAAAGGUCAAGUUGAAGACUAUCAAAGCUCAAAAAAGAAGGAGUUCAAGAAUUUUAAAGAUAAUCUUGCUUCAUUCUGGGACAAUUUGGUCACUGAGUGUCAAAAUGGGCCGUUGUUUGAUCAGAUCUUGUUUGACAAAUGCAUGGAUUAUGUAAUUGCACUUUCAUGUACUCCUCCAAGAAUUUAUCGUCAGGUUGCUUCAUUGAUGGGACUCCAACUUGUCACAUCCCUGAUAAAUGUUGCCAAAAUGCUUGGUGCACAGCGGGAAACUACUCAGAGGCAGUUAAAUGCUGAAAGGAAGAAGAGGACUGAUGGUCCACGUGUGGAAUCACUGAAUAAAAGAUUGUCUACGACACAUGAAAAGAUAAUGGUGAUAGAAGAGAUGAUGCGUAAAAUAUUUACAGGGUUGUUUGUGCAUCGUUACCGAGAUAUUGAUCCGGACAUUCGAAUGUCCUGCAUACAAUCACUUGGGAUGUGGAUCUUGUCAUACCCAUCACUGUUCUUGCAGGAUUUGUACUUGAAAUAUCUUGGAUGGACUUUGAAUGACAAGAAUGCUGGUGUAAGGAAGUCUUCUGCCCUUGCAUUGCAAAAUCUCUAUGAGGUGGAUGAUAAUGUACCAUCUCUUGGCCUUUUUACGGAAAGAUUUUCCAAUCGGAUGAUUGAACUUGCCGAUGACAUUGAUAUUUCAGUGGCUGUAUGUGCCAUAGGACUUGUGAAACAAUUACUAAGGCAUCAACUUAUACAUGAUGAUGACUUGGGUUCUUUGUAUGAUUUGCUAAUUGAUGAUCCUCCAGAGAUCAGGCGUGCCAUUGGAGAACUAGUAUACGGGCAUCUGAUUGCGCAGAAAUUUACUAGCUCUCAAUCACAUUCUAAAGGUGAUGACAAUGAUUCUUCAGAGGUGCAUCUUGGUAGAAUGUUGCAAAUACUAAGAGAGUUUUCAACUGAUCAAAUUCUAAGUACUUAUGUUAUUGAUGAUGUUUGGGAGUACAUGGAUGCCAUGAAGGAUUGGAAGUGUAUUGUCUCUAUGCUCCUGGAUGAGAAUCCUCUAAUUGAGCUUACUGAUGAGGACUCAACAAACUUGAUUCGGCUUCUCUCUGCCUCUAUCAGAAAGGCAGUGGGUGAAAAGAUAGUUCCUGCAACUGAUAAUAGAAAGCAAUACUACAAUAAAGGCCAAAGGGAAAUGUUUGAAAGCAAUAGGCGGGAUGUAACUGUAGCCAUGAUGAAGAGAUACCCUCAGCUUCUAAGCAAAUUCAUGGCUGAUAAGACAAAGAUAGCACCACUGAUUGAGAUUAUUGUUCAUAUGAACCUUGAACUUUAUUCCCUUAAGAGACAGGAGCAGAAUUUCAAGAAUGUUCUCCAACUUAUAAAAGAGGCAUUCUUCAAACAUGGUGAGAAGGAUCCUCUGAGGUGUUGCAUGAAAGCUAUCAAUUUUUGUUCUACUGAGAGUCGAGGAGAGUUACAAGAUUUUGCUCAAAAUAAAUUGAAGGAACUCGAGGAUGAGCUUGCUGCUAAGCUUAAAUCUGCAAUCAGAGAAGUGGCGGAUGAUGAUGAUGAAUACUCGUUGCUUGUAAGUUUGAAAAGGUUAUAUGAGCUUCAAUUGUCAAGAUCUUUUCCUAUGGAAAGCUUGUACGAAGAAGUGGCUGUGUUUCUUCAAAGUUUUAGAAACAUGGAUGAUGAGGUUGUCAGCUUCCUGCUUCUCAACAUGUAUUUACAUGUAGUGUGGUGCAUGCACUCCAUUAUAAACACUGAAACUGUCUCUGAGGCAUUUCUAAAUUCCUUAUUGUCUAAACGCACUACCUUGUUUGAGCAUCUUCAGUACUACCUGGAACACCCUCCUAAAGUUCAGGUGGAGGGUAAAUCGAGUGGUCACCUAGUGUGCAGGGUUUGUACUAUCCUUGCAGAGUCAUGGUGUUUGUUCAAAAAAACAAAUUUUGCUUCAACUAAGCUGGAAAGUUUAGGCUAUUGUCCUGACGAUUCUACUCUUCAAAAGUUUUGGAAAGUUUGUGAACAGCAGCUCAGCAUAUCAGAUGAGACAGAGGACGAAGAUGUCCACAAAGAAUAUGUUGAGGAGACAAACCGGGAUGCAAUCAUGAUUGCUGCUGCUAAGUUAAUUGCUAGUGAUGUGGUUCCAAAGGAGUAUCUUUGUCCGGAGAUCAUUUCUCAUUUUGUAAUGCAUGGACAGUCCGUAACAGAGAUUGUGAAGCAUCUCAUAGCUGUUUUAAAGAAAAGGGAUGAGAAUGUGUCCAGCUUUUUUCUAGAAGCAAUGAAACGGGCUUACCAUCGGCAACUGGUGGGAGUUUCAGGAAGCACUGAUGAAUCUCUGACAGGCAAGUCUUUUCAACAAUGCAAAGAUCUGGCUGCUCGGCUUUCUGGAACAUUUGUGGGUGCUGCUCGGCAUAAGUAUAGAUCAGACAUCUUGAACAUUGUUAAGGAUGGUAUUGAGUAUGCUUUUCUUGAUGCUCCAAAGCAGCUGUCCUUUUUGGAUGUCUCAGUUAUCCAUUUUGUCUCCAGACUUCCUAUGCCUGAUAUCCUAGAAAUUCUAAAGGAUGUAAAAAAACGAACAGAGAAUGUGGACACAGAGGUGGAUCCUAGUGGAUGGCGGCCCUAUUACACUUUCCUAGACAACUUAAAUGAGAAGUAUGCAAGGAAUGAAGUUUUCCAAGAUGAAAAGGAAGGGAUGACUGUCAGACGCCGAGGUCGUCCACGCAAGAGACCUGACCUACAAGGCAAGAAACUUUUUGACGAGCACAGUUCAAGUGAAGAAGAGGAUGCAAUCAGUGUAUCUGAUAAAGAAGCAGAAGAUGAACAGCAGGAAGAGGAAGAGGCACCUUUAAUACAUUCACUUAGAUCAUCAGCCAAACUGCGUUCACUGAAAGUUCCAAGGGGGGAUAAUAAAGGGCAUGGGAAGGCAACAGAUUACUAGCGAGCUACAGAGAAUGUGGGCACUUCUAGAACAUCGGAUGAAAAUCAUUCACUUGGAUAAUCAAUGGCGAGGAUCUAUUUUGGCCUCUGAACCAGAGAGGAAAGAUGGACUUAUUGUUGAGUCGGCCUUCCAGCAAGUGACCUAGUUUAAUGUUACUCAUCCCUUGCUGCAGACUUCGGUGCUUCUCACUGUGUUGAAACUUUUUUUGAGAGUGGUGUAGAGAGGUCCAGAACCAAGUCAUGUACAAAUUUGAAAAAGUUAAUGAAUGCGAGCAGCAUGUAGAAAGGACGUUGAACCGGGCGUUUGGUGUAUGAUAUGUAAUUUGAAGCCCGGGGUUUGUGUCUGUGAAUUGCUUGGUCUUUGUUCCCGUAUCAGAAACUAUUUUGCUCUUUUGAGACAAUCUAGGAUAAAACUUUGGUGUUUCAGACCAAUGAGAUGUCACAUAUCAGCGAUAAAGUUCAAUUGGUUAAUAUAUAUUUUUAAAAGAAUUCAUGUGAA